GAUGCUGUGGCCUGAGCGUCGAUCGAUACUUCCUUAAACAAGCAUUAACGACCUAAUCGAUUUAGUUCAACUAGAUUCCUAGACCAACUCUCGUAUGCGCCUAGGUAUCUAAUCCAACAGAGUUCGGGUUCCGUUAGUUGAUUGCACUUUCGUGACUCUCAACUAUCCUAUGAUUAUAGGUUCAAACAAUUAGUCACACUGUCGUGUUAUUCUAACUAUUCCAGAUCCUACAAUUACAAAUCACUCUGGUGUUGAAAUCAAUAGAUAACCUAGCAAUCCUAAUUGAUUAUCAGUUUGACAUUAAGCUCAUGAAAUCCCUAAACCUAACAAGAUAAAUUACUCAGACAUGCAAGCAAUAACACAAAUCAUAG
rnacentral:lncRNA from 1 species